rnacentral:rRNA from 1 species
UGCAAGUCGAACGAGGUAGCACUACCUAGUGGCGGACGGGUGAGGAAUACGUAGGGAUCUGCCUUUAAGUGGGGGAUAACCCGGGGAAACCCGGAUUAAUACCGCAUGAUCUCGCAAGAGCAAAGAGGGGGACCGCAAGGCCUCUCGCUUUUAGAGGAACCUACGUCGGAUUAGCUUGUUGGUGAGGUAACGGCUCACCAAGGCGACGAUCCGUAACUGGUCUGAGAGGAUGAUCAGUCACACCGGAACUGAGACACGGUCCGGACUCCUACGGGAGGCAGCAGUGGGGAAUAUUGGACAAUGGGCGAAAGCCUGAUCCAGCAAUACCGCGUGUGUGAAGAAGGCCUUCGGGUUGUAAAGCACUUUAAGUUGGGAAGAAAAAACUUCAAUUAAUACUUGAAGUCUUGACGGUACCGACAGAAUAAGCACCGGCUAACUCUGUGCCAGCAGCCGCGGUAAUACAGAGGGUGCUAGCGUUAAUCGGAUUUACUGGGCGUAAAGCGUGCGUAGGCGGUUUGAUAAGUCGGUUGUGAAAGCCCCGGGCUCAACCUGGGAAUUGCGGCCGAUACUGUCAGACUAGAAAACGGUAGAGGGAGGCGGAACUCCAGGUGUAGCGGUGAAAUGCGUAGAUAUCUGGAAGAACACCGAUGGCGAAGGCAACCUCCUGGGCCUGUUUUGACGCUGAGGCACGAAAGCGUGGGUAGCAAACAGGAUUAGAUACCCUGGUAGUCCACGCCGUAAACGAUGAGAACUUUGACGUUGGUUUUGCUUAGCAA